CGCGGAGGGGGGAAGGCCACCUCGCCUCCCUGCCGAUCGCCCCCACCCCCGCCCCAACAAUUGCGACUAAUGAUUAACAAACCUUAAACUUUCUUCCCCCAGCCUCGCGCCCCGCCACGAGGGCAUCUACCGAGGGGCAGCGGGGGUGGGGGGCAGAGGGUCGCGGCUAGAGCCCCGGGAAGGCACUGAGAUGCCACUUUUGGUUCGGCCCUCGCUGGUAGCAGCCCCGAGGACCCUCUCCCUGCCCAUGGACGCGGGGCUGCGAGCGCCCGGGGAGCCGAGAUGUUGUAGGUCUCUGCUCUUGUAAGACUUUGGCUGCAGAAUCCCGGGAUAAGCCCUCCUAGGUGAGUUAUCUAUUUCCUGAAUGCUGUCUGUCUCCUACCUGCCUAUGC
rnacentral:lncRNA from 1 species